AUAUUGGUCAAUGGGCGCGAGCCUGAACCAGCCAAGUCGCGUGAGGGAUGACGGCCCUACGGGUUGUAAACCUCUUUUGUCGGGGAGCAAAUUCCGUUACGUGUAACGGAGUCGAGAGUACCCGAAGAAAAAGCAUCGGCUAACUCCGUGCCAGCAGCCGCGGUAAUACGGAGGAUGCGAGCGUUAUCCGGAUUUAUUGGGUUUAAAGGGUGCGUAGGCGGACUGUCAAGUCAGUGGUAAAAUACGGGGGCUCAACCUCCGCCCGCCGUUGAAACUGACGGCCUUGAGUGGGCGAGAAGAAGGCGGAAUGCGUGGUGUAGCGGUGAAAUGCAUAGAUAUCACGCAGAACCCCGAUUGCGAAGGCAGCCUUCCGGCGCCCUACUGACGCUGAGGCACGAAAGUGCGGGGAUCG
rnacentral:rRNA from 1 species